rnacentral:piRNA from 1 species
UAUCUGUAGACCUCCAAUUUG